rnacentral:lncRNA from 1 species
AUCUUUGAACCUCUUGUGCUGUCUUUUUAUAAGUUAUUUGUUGGAAAAAAAAAAAACUUUACAUUCUGGUUCAUGUGUAAGAAUGUCUUUCCACUCAUCGCUUCAAUUGAACUUUUGUGUUCCCACUGAAAUGGGUUUCCAUGUGAACUAUGAGAAUUAACAGAAAUUCUUAUUAUUGGAGCAAGUAUCUUGUUUUUUGUUCCAUUAUGUAUCUUUCUCCUUCAAAUAUGUCAGUCGGCAUCUUAUUAUUGGAGCAAUUAUCUUGUUUAACCAAACUGGACAAUAAUAUUUGGAUGAAAAAUCAGAACUGGACAAGUACUUAGAGGAAACAUUGUGGUCAAUGUCUGUUCUUUUCAGGAUCUGUCAAAACCCAGUACUUCUCAGGGCUGCCUCAAAUGCCUUUUGGACUUCUUGUCAUGUUAUAUCAAAGCUUCUCUUAUCUUCACAAUCUGCCUGAAGAGGAGCUUAAUUAGUUCAUUCCAUGCCCGUGCUGCCAAUGCAGCCGAUGUUGUCCACCUUAGUGCAUUAAGUAGUGCAUUAAUUAGGCUUUCCAGUUUGAUUUAUUACCCUCUAGUGUCACCAAAAUCGUGUAAAUGAGUAACUAUUCUAUAUUUCAAGUUUGGACACAAAUGCGAUAUAAAAAUUGUCUGCUAUUGAAUGCAGAUUUAGUCUUACACCUUCUCUCAGUACUUUGUAUUGUU